CACUAAAUUUAUUUUUGUGAAUUGCAGAUAUAAUAUUUGUGCCAAUUGUUACUCAAUAUUGUGACCUAUUGCCCCUUCCUCCACCAGAUCCGUGUCUCCACCGGUCAAUUUAUCUGAUCUAUCAGUGUUCACCUAUUUGGCCAAACAAGGGUACUUAAAUCAAUGUGACUUUGUCAAGACUAUUAAAAAACUUUCAAAACUUCGCUUAAGACUCAUCAAUUACUAUGAGACCUUGUUCGUGACUCGGGAAUAGUGUGAAAUUCUCAGGAACGUCAGUAAAGUUUACCAGGUUCAACCAUAAUAUUAAAAUAAUAGUUUCUUAUCUCCAAAAAUUAAAAAAGCAACGAA